rnacentral:rRNA from 1 species
UGGYCGUUAAAACGRAUGAGUCGCUUASWGUAGRGKGUCUGCGUCCUGUAGUGCUGCAGCUAACGCAUUAAUGCACUCGCCUGGGGAGUACGGUCGCAAGACUGAAACUCAAAGGAAUUGACGSGGGCCCCGCACAAGCGGUGGAGCAUGUGGUYUAAUUMGAAGCAACGMGAAGAACMUUACCAGGUCUUGACAUCCUCUGACAAUCCUAGAGAUAGGACGUCCCCUUCGGGGGCAGAGUGACAGGUGGUGCAUGGUUGUCGUCAGCUCGUGUCGUGAGAUGUUGGGUUAAGUCCCGCAACGAGCGCAACCCUUGAUCUUAGUUGCCAGCAUUCAGUUGGGCACUCUAAGGUGACUGCCGGUGACAAACCGGAGGAAGGUGGGGAUGACGUCAAAUCAUCAUGCCCCUUAUGACCUGGGCUACACACGUGCUACAAUGGRCAGAACAAAGGGCAGCGAAACCGCGAGGUUAAGCCAAUCCCACAAAUCUGUUCUCAGUUCGGAUCGCAGUCUGCAACUCGACUGCGUGAAGCUGGAAUCGCUAGUAAUCGCGGAUCAGCAUGCCGCGGUGAAUACGUUCCCGGGCCUUGUACACACCGCCCGUCACACCACGAGAGUUUGUAACACCCGAAGUCGGUGAGGUAACCUUUUAGGAGCCAGCCGCCGAAGGUGGACAGAUGAUUGU